rnacentral:rRNA from 1 species
GAUGAACGCUAGCGGCAUGCCUAACGCAUGCAAGUCGAGCGAGGAGUUACUUUCGGGUUACUGAGACCGGCAUACGGGUGCGUAACGCGUAUACAAUCUGCCUUUCACUGGUAGCUAGCCCGAAGAAAUUUGGAUUAAUACGCCAUAGUAUAUAGAGACGGCAUCGUUUUUAUAUUAAAGCUUAGGUGGUGAAAGAUGAGUAUGCGUUCUAUUAGCUAGUUGCAGAGGUAACGGCUCCCGAAGGCGAUGAUAGAUAGGGGUUCUGCGAGGGAUGUCCCCCACACUGGGACUGAGAUACGGACCAGACUGCUACGGGAGGCAGCAGUGAGGAAUAUUGGAGAAUGGUCGGAAGACUGAUCCAGCCAUGCCGCGUGCAGGAUGAAGGUCUUAUGGAUUGUAAACUGCUUUUGGAAGGGAAGAAUAAGGGCUACGCGUAGUUUGAUGACGGUACCUUACGAAUAAGCACCGGCUAACUCCGUG